UACGUAGGGGGCAAGCGUUAUCCGGAAUUACUGGGUGUAAAGGGUGCGUAGACGGUACUAUAAGUCCGAUGUGAAAGCCCGAGGCUCAACCUCGGGACUGCAUUAGAAACUAUAGAACUAGAGUACAGGAGAGGAAGGCGGAAUUCCUAGUGUAGCGGUGAAAUGCGUAGAUAUUAGGAGGAACACCAGUGGCGAAGGCGGCCUUCUGGACUGUAACUGACGUUGAGGCACGAAAGCGUGGGGAGCGAACAGG
rnacentral:rRNA from 1 species